rnacentral:rRNA from 1 species
AUGAGCUGCAUAAGCUGGAACUGUCGGGGGCUUGGGAACCCCGAGGCAGUUCGAGAGCUUCGCAAUAUUGUGAAGCAAGAGUUACCCCUCCUACUCUUUUUCAUGGAAAAUAAAAUAUCAGCGAAAAGAGUAGAGAGCCUGCAACAUUCGCUGGGAUUUACAGGAUGUUUUGCAGUUAAUAGCACGGGAUUGAGCGGCGGCAUCGGACUAUUUUGGUCCCGAGAUGUGGAUGUCGAGCUCAAAAAUUUCAGUUCCGCCCACAUUGAUGUGAUGGUGCGGAGGACAGACCAAGUUUCGCCAAUAUGGCGGUUUACGGGGUUCUAUGGAGCCCCAAGAGUGGAGAAUCGUCACCAUAGCUGGCGGUUUCUUCAGACCCUGCAUGCCAUACAACACUCCGUGUGGUUGUGCAUGGGUGAUUUCAACGAGACUCUCUACGCCACCGAACACUUCAGUAGCUCGGCCAGGCCGGAGUGGCAAAUGAGAGCGUUCCGAGAGGUCGUCGAUGAGUGUUCCUUCCAAGACCUUGGCUGGUCUGGGGUGUCUUACACCUGGGAUAAUCGGUAG